rnacentral:misc_RNA from 1 species
GAUGAGGAACGUAGCGAAAUGCGAUAAGUAAUGCGAAUUGCAGAAUUCAGUGAAUCAUCGAAUCUUUGAACGCACAUUGCGCCCGCCAGUAUUCUGGCGGGCAUGCCUGUCUGAGCGUCGUUUCGACCCUCGCGCCCGGCUUCUGUCGGGGGCGGUGUUGGGGAUCGGCCACACCCUUCAGUGGGAGGCCGGCCCCUAAAUUCAGUGGCGACCACGCUGUAGCCUCCCCUGCGUAGUACUAAAACCACCUCGCAGGCGGAGAGCGGUGCGGCCCGCCGUAAAACCCCCCAACUUUUACAAGGUCGACCUCAGAUCAGGUAGGAAUACCCGCUGAACUUAAGCAUAUCAAUAAGCGGAGGA